rnacentral:lncRNA from 1 species
UCCAUUUAGGUACUCAGGAAUUUCAGAUCUGUCCAACAGACCUUCUGGCAAGAAAAUUCUCCUCUCAGGACCUGGAAAAGAGAAGACCACAAUUUGAAGGCCAAGUAUAUGGUAAAGCUAAGUAAAUUUGCUCUGCUGAGUCAAUUUUAUGACACUUACCAUACCACUUGGCGAGUUCAUCGGACUCGGGGGCAGCAACAACAGCCUUCUUUGGUGGAGGAGCAGCCUUCUUACCAAAAAGAGCAACCGUUUUAAAGGUUGCAGGGCUUGAUGCAGAUGGAGCUGUCCUGGAGGAGAAGUUGAGGGUGUUCCCUAGCAUUUCCGACACUCCGAUGGAGGCUGCCGCAGUGGAUGCUGCUAAGGAAGCCAUUGUCUGAUUCUGAUGAGUUGCCGGCAAGUGUAGAAUCUGUUUGCAAUGCAAGAAGAGUGUAAUGUGUUAAUGAAAUUGUGGUGAAGAGCAGGGGACUAAAUGGUUUUUCUGGUGGAUGUGGACUUGACACCUAGGAUUCAACUUACUGGUCUGCAUGGGAAUCAGGGAAAUCCAAUGUAAGCUCCUGAUUGGAUGGGAGUGGUGACAUGGCAAGAUGAUGUGGCUGACGUGGACUCAGAAUCAUGCAUGUUGUGGAUGUCAGUGCAUAGAUUUGGAUAACAUUAUAUCUCCUCGCUGCUUUCAAAUCCUGUCUCUAUUCUCCUCUUCAGUGCAAUUAUUUGUGGCUAACAAAAUUCCCUCAUGUACUACAAUCUAGCUUUCGAAACAGAACUAAAAUAAACAAUAUACGUAUUACAUGCCAUUCCUAAUAAUUUCAUGUAAUACUGUCUAUACGAGUCCCUCUUUUGUUUUUUCCCGUCAUAACCCCCGCUUAGACACGAGUCACACAACUCAUAAAACCUGAAAUUGUAUUCGGAAAUAUGCAAUUCACUUCAAAUUACAUUGUCAUUUCUAAUAAUCAAGUUUAUUGUAGGUUUGAAUGUUAAAUCCAUAUCCCUCUGUUAAUCUAGACACCUCAUUUCAUUAUAUCUAGAAUUUCUAAUGAUAUCCAUGUUCUCGAACAAGAUUUGAAAUAGUUGCAUAUCAAUGCGAUGCAACUUUCAACUUCCAAUGGAACCAAAUAAGCACUAAUUAAAAGUUACCCACAAGAGAUAAGAAACUAGCAUCAAAGGUUAUCCUCCUCUGUUGAAUUGAAUUGCACUCCUAGGACUUUACUCUAAACAACGAAGUUGAGCAAAAUACUGUAAGAGAGCAUAACUUCAGUCUUCAAGUAUAUGAAUGACUAGGUACAUUUGCUGAGGUUGUGCAAAGCUUGGUGUCUGCAGAUAAUAUAAUCAUAUUGUAAACGAUAACUGUCUUCAUUCUUGUAUAUAUUUCACUGGACUUGCCGGAGAUAGAUACGGGGACGCUGAAAGUGUUAAUAUCACAGGAAUCUAGCAAACUGUAUCAAAGUCUUCUCCAUUUGUCCACCUCUUUGGAGGUUGCUCUGAUCAGCUUCUUCGUAUUUACAACAAGAUCAUCCACAAGGGUCCCGAUCUCAUCCCUGGCAUUCAGAGAAAGAAUUCAUGAAAUAUAUGCAACUUAGAUAGAUGACAAUUGACAACAUCAAAAAUAUAAUAUAGGUGAUGCUAAAUAACAAUCUAAAGGUGAUAUAGGUGGAAAGGGGUGGUACAUGGCCUACAUUCUAUAUAUUAUGCAACAAUUAAAGCUCAGUGCCAGAGGUAACUUGUGAUACGGCAUGUCAAAACUUACUGGAUAGGGAGAUGUCCAGGCCUAUGAAAUAUCUUCCCCACAUUAGUGUAUUUCCGAUAUUCAUCAUGAGCAACACCCCUUCCAACACCAUAGCCAAAGCCUACCCCAAUCCCACAUCCAGCACCAAGUCCAAAACCAAGCUGUAGACCCGGGAAUCCAGCACCAAAACCUGUGCCUGAAGUAAAGCAAGUCAUUUUUAUUAAUUAAUACUACCUAAAUUAAAACAUGUGGAUAUCACAAGGAGGGAGGAGGAGAGGGGUGGUUCCACAAAAGAUAAUAGUAAAAAACAAUCCUAUCCUGUUUUUUGUUCAGGUAGAAUCUG